rnacentral:rRNA from 1 species
UACAGAGGUGGCAAGCGUUGUUCGGAAUUACUGGGCGUAAAGGGCGAGUAGGUGGCCAUCUAAGUCAGACGUGAAAGCCCCGGGCUCAACCUGGGAACCGCGCUUGAGACUGGAGAACUAGAGUUCGGGAGAGGAUGGUGGAAUUCCCAGUGUAGAGGUGAAAUUCGUAGAUAUUGGGAAGAACACCGAUGGCGAAGGCAGCCAUCUGGACCGACACUGACGCUGAGGCGCGAAAGCGUGGGGAGCAAACAGG